rnacentral:rRNA from 1 species
UACGUAGGGGGGCAAGCGUUGUCCGGAAUUAUUGGGCGUAAAGAGCUCGUAGGCGGUUUGUCGCGUCUGCUGUGAAAACCCGAGGCUCAACCUCGGGCCUGCAGUGGGUACGGGCAGACUAGAGUGCGGUAGGGGAGAUUGGAAUUCCUGGUGUAGCGGUGGAAUGCGCAGAUAUCAGGAGGAACACCGAUGGCGAAGGCAGAUCUCUGGGCCGUAACUGACGCUGAGGAGCGAAAGCAUGGGGAGCGAACAGG